AACGAACGCUGGCGGCAUGCCUAACACAUGCAAGUCGAACGGGAUCUUCGGGUCUAGUGGCGCGCGGGUGCGUAACGCGUGGGAAUCUGCCCUUUGGUUCGGAAUAACAGUUGGAAACGACUGCUAAUACCGGAUGAUGACGAAAGUCCAAAGAUUUAUCGCCAGAGGAUGAGCCCGCGUAGGAUUAGCUAGUUGGUGUGGUAAAGGCGCACCAAGGCGACGAUCCUUAGCUGGUCUGAGAGGGUGAUCAGCCACACUGGGACUGAGACACGGCCCAGACUCCUACGGGAGGCAGCAGUGGGGAAUAUUGGACAAUGGGCGAAAGCCUGAUCCAGCAAUGCCGCGUGAGUGAUGAAGGCCUUAGGGUUGUAAAGCUCCUUUACCCGGGAUGAUAAUGACAGUACCGGGAGAAUAAGCUCCGGCUAACUCCGUGCCAGCCGCCGCAGUAA
rnacentral:rRNA from 1 species